AGUGAACGCUGGCGGUAGGCCUAACACAUGCAAGUCGAACGGCAGCACAGUAAGAGCUUGCUCUUACGGGUGGCGAGUGGCGGACGGGUGAGGAAUACAUCGGAAUCUACUUUUUCGUGGGGGAUAACGUAGGGAAACUUACGCUACUACCGCAUACGACCUACGGGUGAAAGCAGUGGAUCUUCGGACCUUGCGCGAUUGAAUGAGCCGAUGUCGGAUUAGCUAGUUGGCGGGGUAAAGGCCCACCAAGGCGACGAUCCGUAGCUGGUCUGAGAGGAUGAUCAGCCACACUGGAACUGAGACACGGUCCAGACUCCUACGGGAGGCAGCAGUGGGGAAUAUUGGACAAUGGGCGAAAGCCUGAUGCAGCCAUACCGCGUGGGUGAAGAAGGCCUUCGGGUUGUAAAGCCCUUUUGUUGGGAAAGAAAAGCAGCAGGUGAAUACCCCGCUGUUCUGACGGUACCCAAAGAAUAAGCACCGGCUAACUUCGUG
rnacentral:rRNA from 1 species